rnacentral:misc_RNA from 1 species
UCUUAGCCCUGCAGCUUGAGGAAGGC